AGAGGGGUGCCUUGCAGGAGGUCUGGCCAGUGGGAAGAGCCAGCCCAGGGCUGCCCGGAGUGCGGUGAGUGCGGAGGGGUGGGCGCCAAGGCAGAGAGGCAGGCACCAAGGGGUGGUUUCAGGAGGAUGGGCCUCAGAUGUCCAGCAGAAACUGACUAGAAGCACCCAACUGGGAGAGAGGAGAAGUAGAAUCGGCCCAACAGCAGGCAGUAGCGGGGCUCAGGCGGACCUCAGGGGUAAAAACUGAUGAACCAAAUCAGGCGCCACAAACACAAAGCCGAAAGCAGACUGGUGGGGAGGCUGGUUCUAGGCUGGGAAGGUGUGCAGGAGACAAGCCCAAAGCAUCUUGAAGCAUCAGGAAGUCAGCAGGUGCCCAAAAGAAACCCCAUGACUAGGGGGUCACGUCAGGGGGACACAGGGGUAACUGAAAGAGUGGCCGGUAGUCAGAGCUGCAGCAACCUGGGCACCGUGGUAAAUACAGUGAUAUCAUAGCGUAACCCAAAUUGUAAAGUAAAUCUCCAUGCAUGCAUAUUGAUAGGAAUGAAAGGCUGAAUAAAUAAAUAAGUGGGAUAGAACAGACAAAGCUCACAUGCAGAAUUCCAAAUAACUAUGUCUUCUGCCCUCAAGGAGGUGAGAGCGGAAUGUAAAUCCCCCCACAAGGGUGGACAGUGCUGUGACUUCUCUCCAGAGAGGAUGGCAUGGAAAGGGGUGGGAAGCCCUUGAGCCCUUCCCCUGCCAGAUGAUCAAGGUCCAGACGCACAGUGGGGAGUCCUGAUGGCAGGAUGUACCUCCCCUGCUAGGCUGUGGCCAGCCCUGUGGUCCCCCUCCCCAGACCCACAAUCUCCAUCCGACCCUGAGAAAAACAUCAGACAAUGAGGAACAUUCUACGAAACACCUGGCCAGUCUCCUCAACACUGUCAAGGUCACUCAGAGCAAAGAAAGUCUGAGAAACCAUCACAGACAAGAGCCCCAGAAGACCUAACAACUAAAUGUAACGUGACGUCUCAGAUGGGAUCCUGGGACUGGAAAGGAAAGUCAUGUUAAGAACUACGGGAACCUGAAUGAAGUGUGGACUUUGAUAAAUAAUAAGUGUUCACUGUUGGCUCAUUAUUUGUGACAAAGGUCCCAGACUACUAUGUAAGACACUGAUAAGAGGGGACAUGGAAU
rnacentral:lncRNA from 1 species